CACAAUGCUUGUCUGCCGUGCCCUGGGGGGGAGUUCUGCCAAGGAGAAGGGUUGACCAGCGUUUCAGGAACCUGUUAUGCUGGGUAUUACUGUGAUAUGAAAUCCACACGGCCAGACCAGAAACGCUGUCCACCUGGAUCCUACUGCCCCAAAGGCACAGAGUCCCCAGUCCCAUGUGGUGCUGGAAGCCUCAACCCACACGGUGGGAAAUGGCACUCAACAGACUGUCAGCCCUGCCCGGCCGGAUAUUUCUGCAGUGGGCUAGGAAAAACUGCUGCAGAGGGACUGUGCUCUGCUGGUUACUACUGCCCACCAGGCCAGACCUCAGCCACUCCUCUCUCCUAUCGCUGCCCCCC